AGCGAACGCUGGCGGCGUGCCUAACACAUGCAAGUCGAACGUGAAAGGGAGCAAUCCCUAGUAAAGUGGCGUACGGGUGAGUAACACGUAGGUAAUCUACCCCAGAAUCUGGAAUAACCGGCCGAAAGGCUGGCUAAUACUGGCUAGAGCGACGGACUCCGUAAUUGGGUUUUUCGGGAAAGGGAGCCUGUAACAAGGCCUUCGUUCUGGGAUGAGCCUGCGUCCCAUCUGCUAGUUGGUGAGGUAAAAGCUCACCAAAGCAAUGACAGGUAGCUGGUCGUGAGAGAAGGACAGGCCAAACGGGACUGAAAAAAGGUCCAGACUCCUAAGGGAGGCAGCCGGGGGGAAUUAUGCGAAAAGGAGGAAAGGCCGACGCCGCAACGACGGGGGAGUGAAGGAGGCCCUCGGGUUGUAAAACUCUGUCGGGUGGGACGGAAAUGCUUGGAGUUCAUAGCCCGAGGAACUGACGGUACCAAAAAAAUAAGCACCGGCUAACUUCGUG
rnacentral:rRNA from 1 species